rnacentral:ncRNA from 1 species
CGCUAGGGAUUAAUUAUCAAGUCCCAUUAUAUUGAAAAAUAUAAUUAUCAAUAAUAAUAUAUUAUUGAGUAAAUCGGGUGAAUUGCAAGGAAGUCCAUAUAUAAUAUAUAUAUAUAUUAUAUAUAUGGAUAAUUUGCAGCGAAGUGCAUUACGUCGAAUAUAUAUAAUAUUAGUAAUGUAAACGUUCAACGACUAGAGAAUGAGUAUCGACAACAAUAACUUCUCCACGAGCGCCCGAUAUUUGUAUAAAUACAACAUUUAUAUAAAUAAUGACAUAGUCUGAACAAUAUAUAAAAUAUUA